rnacentral:rRNA from 1 species
AGUGAACGCUGGCGGUAGGCCUAACACAUGCAAGUCGAACGGCAGCACAGAGGAGCUUGCUCCUUGGGUGGCGAGUGGCGGACGGGUGAGGAAUACAUCGGAAUCUACUUUUUCGUGGGGGAUAACGUAGGGAAACUUACGCUAAUACCGCAUACGACCUACGGGUGAAAGCAGGGGAUCUUCGGACCUUGCGCGAUUGAAUGAGCCGAUGUCGGAUUAGCUAGUUGGCGGGGUAAAGGCCCACCAAGGCGACGAUCCGUAGCUGGUCUGAGAGGAUGAUCAGCCACACUGGAACUGAGACACGGUCCAGACUCCUACGGGAGGCAGCAGUGGGGAUUAUUGGACAAUGGGCGCAAGCCUGAUCCAGCCAGACCGCGUGGGUGAAGAAGGCCUUCGGGUUGUAAAGCCCUUUUGUUGGGAAAGAAAUCCAGCCGGCUAAUACCUGGUUGGGAUGACGGUACCCAAAGAAUAAGCACCGGCUAACUUCGUGCCAGCCGCCGCCGUAA